GUUCUCUUUUUAAGAGGCUGACUGCUAAUAUUAAAGUGAAAGUCUCAACACUAGUUACAAUUACAGUGCUUUAUGAAAUCUUGUUUUUAGUAUAGGACAUAACUAUAGUGUGUGCGUGGAGUUUUGGGGUCUAGUUUCUCCAAUGUAAGAAAAUAGGUGUGAUAGCCCACUGUCAUCAUGUAUUGACAUGCAUUCAGUCAGAUUAAUUAUUAAAGAGGUAUAUAGGGCUUAAUGACAGGCUAUUAACACUGCUGGGUAAUUGUCUUUGGAUUUGAUACACUGGGAUGUUGGAGGACAUGCCUCUAUGUAAAUGGUGUAACUUAUAAAUCCAUAAAUGUGUGGGUUUUUUAGAAUCAUUUGCGUAUCUGUCCUUAACACAUGGAUCUGAUACUAGCAAGUGCCAGGAGUGAAGGCAGUGUCCACUAUCUGAGCAGUAACUGGGUGAAAUCUGAUCUUGAGUAGCCAUUAAAAAAUUUAGUGAGAUUUUUAUCUGUUCUCAAGUACCACUCUAAACUUUAUUGUAUUUAAUCUAGUUUACUUGUUAAAGGAACAUAAAAAGAGACAUUAGGAAUGCAGAUUUAGUGUCGUACAAUAGUCAAGAUGAAGAGUAAUGGCUGGAAAGCCUUAACUCUCAGGCUCUGCUCCUAUACUAAUGUCACAGAAAUCAUAUUACUGAGAUGCAGCUAUCUUUCAUAGGCAGCAGGGGCAGAAUGGAUGGCUCCUUUCCCUCAGCAGAAGCAGCUAUCCUGAUCUGGUGUGCAGAGCCAGAGUGGGGUCAAUUGAGGCAUCGCGAGGGGCUUUGCUCUCAGCAGAGCUGUAGGGAUAUGAGCACUCUGACAGGUAUAUCCUCAUUUGCUGGGGGUAUCCUUGUGAGGCCAGGGGCCAGAUAGCUUGAGUGUGGUCUGCUUCGUGUUUUCAUAAGGCCUGAUACAUCACUCCAGCUAAAAGUGCCCUGAUCUCCAGGAUGAAGUGAAAUUUCUUUUGUUUUACUAUUUGUAAUGUUACGGAAGGAUAAUUAUUUUUCCUCAGUGGUGUGAAGACUGAUAGACAAACAUAAAUUCUAUUUGUUCAUGAGUUUGCUUAAAAUUUUUCGAUCUGUUAAUCACCAGGGAAACAAAAGCACAAGGGGAAAAAAAAUGUUUAUGGAAAGCUCUUUUGUGAGCCUAUGGCCUGAUUCUUUCGGCACAGAGGAACAAGCUGUUCUCAGGGCUGUACCUGAGUUCUCAUCACUCUAUACAGGUGUCAGUGUAAGCCAAGAAAGAUUCAAAUGUUGCCCAGCUGAGGGUUAUUUUGUUCAUUUGGCUGGUGCUCAAGAACAAAAAAUAACUCUUGGAAAAAAAUAAAAUACAGUAAAGCAUGUGUGGUAAGUGUAUUUUCUUGUAUAUUGCCCAGAAUUAUUCCAGGUACACUUCAUAGGGAGCAGUGUUGACCAGCAGGCACCAUUAUGAUAGGGAACAAAAUGAUUACUGACUUGAUUCACUUCUUUCUUUCGUUGUGUUUCCUUCUCGUGGCUGAAGGCUCCUUUAGCUCAGUGACAUAAGGAAAAGCAAUAAGAAAUAAUGCUUGAGCUACUCUCACACACACGUGGGGAUGUAUAUUGCCAAUAGAAUGAGUUUCCCAUAAACUUCAGUCAUCUAUUAGUGCUAACCUGGUACCAAUCAUGACUUACUCAGAGUUUCUCUCCACACCUCUGUCUUCCUGGCCAUCAGGGAUUUGCAACUGUUCUUAGGACUCACUGAAAUCUAGGCUAACAGAGCAGUCCAGGACAAAUCACAAGCGUGAUUUAUUAGCUGCUAGAGACAAAUGGUUGGACCUACAAGGAAGCCUUUCCAUUUUGUAAUUUUGCCUGCAAAUAUUUUUCUUAAAAGUAAUAGCCUGGUUUAUUCUGCUAAUAAUCUGUACUGUUUUAUGUGUAAGCCAUUGUUCCAGGUUUUACCAAUACACGGAGGAAAUGGCACACUUUUAAAAGGAGAUUGAAUUGUGGCGAGUGGGCUGCGUGUUUGUAUUUUCUGGCUUACUGUUGUGUCUUUGAUGCUCAAAAUAAACUUGUAUGUGCAGCUGAUGCCAUAAACCAGAGCAGUGGGUUUGACCCUCAACAAAGCAUUCCCCAUUGUGUGUUUGCACAUGAUGGCUUGUUCACUCAGUUCUGCAUUGACUGUUGGAUACCAAAGCAAGCCUGGCUCCUGGCCUGAGUUCAGCUUUCAAAGAGGUGUGAUCGUCUGUUAUCACUUACCUAGCCAAAGGAUAUCCACUCUACAGAACCUAAAUCCCACUUCCAACUGUUAGGCAUCAAAUGGAAUGUGUGAGAUGCAACUCUUGGAACAUUAAGUGACAUCCUUAUCUCUGCUGCCAUUAUACAUUCCAGUCAUCAGCCAGGUGCUGGAAAAAACCCUGAAUCCAGCUUCUCUGUCCACUUCAAUACCAUUGUUUCACCACGGGGAAAGAUGAAAUCCAGAAAAGUGAGGAUUGCUGGUGAAUGUUGCACUUCAGUGGAGUAGCUGGGGUUGUCACCACUCUGGAACUGGUUCCCUGGGAGAGACCCAGGAGUUCCCAUGGUCUCACAAAGGACUGCAGUCAAACCCAAACAUCUUUAUGUGCUUUAACGGCUCUUAGCAUUUGUGAACUGUCUUAAUAUGGUACUUUUCUUUAGAUGCUAGAUACAGUAAGGCCUGGGAGAGCCUCAGUGUCCUGAGAGGCUCUAUGCUGUCCUUGUUCUCAUACUGGGAGGCAGCAGAGUGGGUGCUGGCCAUGCAGGGUUGCUUUUCUCCUAGUGAACCAUUUAUUCAAGCUUUCUUUCACAGAUUUUGAACUAAAUCAGCCACAUAACAAAAGGGGAUGGAAACUAGUGAGGGAUGAGUACAAGUAAGCUCUUUUCAUAGCAAUUUUGUACAGGGAGGGAGGAAGAGGGUACUUUUCUAAAAAGGGGAUUUCUGCUACACUUGCUAAUGAUAUACACCCCCCU